rnacentral:lncRNA from 12 species
CUGUUUAUAAGAUGGGAAUGGAUGUGCUCCUUUUGCUGUGAUUCAUGAGCUGGAAACCCUCAGAAUCACUGGGAUCUGCUCUUUGAACUGGGCUCUGCAGAAAGCAAGCCACAGAUAUUGAACUUCAAAGCAAGAGAUAACUGAGAGAAAUAAAUGUUCCAAAUGGUGGAG